GCUUGCUUUUCUGCUGACGAGUGGCGCACGGGUGCGUAACGCGUAUACAAUCUACCUUUUGCUGUGGGAUAGCCCAGGGAAACUUGGAUUAAUACCGCAUAGUAUAUAAAAUCGGCAUCGUUUUUAUAUUAAAGGUUACGGCAAAAGAUGAGUAUGCGUCCUAUUAGCUAGAUGGUGUGGUAACGGCACACCAUGGCAACGAUAGGUAGGGGCCCUGAGAGGGGGAUCCCCCACACUGGUACUGAGACACGGACCAGACUCCUACGGGAGGCAGCAGUGAGGAAUAUUGGGCAAUGGAGGCAACUCUGACCCAGCCAUGCCGCGUGCAGGAAGACUGCCCUAUGGGUUGUAAACUGCUUUUAUACGGGAAGAAACACCGCUACGUGUAGCGGCUUGACGGUACCGUAAGAAUAAGGAUCGGCUAACUCCGUGCCAGCAGCCGCGGUAAUACGGAGGAUCCAAGCGUUAUCCGGAAUCAUUGGGUUUAAAGGGUCCGUAGGUGGAUGAUUAAGUC
rnacentral:rRNA from 1 species